rnacentral:lncRNA from 1 species
GUCCUGGUGCGGCCUCUGAUUGGGGCUGCCUAGUCGCUCGGGCCUCUGAUUGGUCGAGCAGAAAGGGCGUGUGGGCGGAGGGACUGUGGGCUGGGGCCGGUCUGCGGGUGGAUGUCCUAUUUUCAGGAUCUCUGGCAGCUGAGUGUCGCAGCUUCUGUCGCCGAAACGGGAACCGUACAAGCUAUCCGUGAUGAAACAAGUUUGUCAAAUGCGCAACACGGGGAGGAAAACAGUCUCUUCGAUCCGCGUGGUUCGGCGGAAAAGCAGAUGGAUUUACAGUCACAGGCCAUAGAUGUAGUUUGGCUCCAAGAAGACUCUGGAGAAGGACAGAGCUAAGACUCCUAAAGAGCUGCCAACACUACGAUGUUCAUAUUUGUUUUGUACCCAGUCCAAACACCUCACCAUAUCCCCAUCCCUGAUAAAAAGAAAAUGCCAUGACUCUCCUGUUUUGGAAGCUGCUGCCAAGACAGUUGGCAAUAAAGGAACUUAUUGUGUAGACUGCUGCUAACCUUUUUGGUUCAAUAAAUAAAUAUGUUGUGAUAUUUUAAACUGCUGACCUCUGCAUCCACGCUUAUUUAAUAAGUGUAUAUUGAAGGUUGCCCUGUAUGUGGCAGUGUCUAUAGUGAAUAAAGUGCUCGGCUGGGAGUUAAGACUUGAGUUCAAAUUCUGCCCCAAACCCUAGUUUUGAACCCUAAACAACUCAUUUCACAGUGUAAAGGGCAUCCGGAAAGUCAGAAAAGCUCAUCUUACUGAGUUCAAAUUUGCUCCAGAGAUUGUGACCCUGGGCAAGUCACUAACCCUGUUGCCUUAGUUUCCACAUCUGUAAAAUAAACUGGUGAAGGAAACGGUUCACCACUCUAGUAUCUCUGCCAAGAAAACCUCAAAUGGAGUAAGAAUUGGACAUGACUGAAAAUCAUCUAGCAACAAACAAAACAAAGUAAAGAUCACAGUGGUGCUUUUCCCAUAGGGUAGUUGUGUGAGUCAAAUAAAGUAAUUCAUGAUGUGAUUUGGAAGCUUUCAAUGCUACAUAAAUGUGACCUCUCUCAGUUGACCCAGUCAGAAGAGUAACCUGUUGACUCACAUGCUAUUUUUACUAAAGAAAUGAGCUAUCUUGUUUCUUUUUAUUGGGAGCUUGUGAUUUUUGACAUGAACAACUUCAUACAUAGUAUAUACAUGUUAAGUGAACCCAAUCAUUGUGUAAACUAGACUGGAAGCAGAUGAAUGCUUUUACAAAUUGUUUGCUGAAGAUGAAAAUUUACUAAUAAAGGACUUCUGUGGAAGAAGAAGACAAUUUCAAUAGUCCAAGUGAAAAUGGCUGAUGGCUAAUACUAGAUUCAUGUCUGCAUGAGAUUGUUUUCAAGAGGUAUUGUGAAAGUAGAAAUAAGAUUUGGCAACAAAUUAGAUAUAAGUUGUUGAUAAAGUGAGGAGUUAAGGAUGGCACUGAGGUUGUAAGUCCAGAUGAUCAGGAAGAAGAGGUAUCCUUGAUAGUAAUAAGGGAGUUGGGAAGAAAUUGGGUUUUGGACAUGUUGAAUUUGUGAUGCUCACAGACAUCUAACUUGAACUAUUCCCUAAGCGCUUGGCGGUGCAGGAUUGUAUCUCAGGAGAGACAAAGAUUGAAUAAGUAGAUCUGGAAAUCUUCAGUAUGAUGAUGACAGUUAAAUGCUUGGGAGCUGAUAAGAUCACCAAAAUAAUGUAGAUGGAGAAGAGAAGAGGCUCUGAUUCAGAGCGGUGGGGUACAUCCACAAUUGGUGGGCUUGACACAGCUGAAGAGUCAGCAAGGAGAACUGAAAAAUGAUCAUUUAGGAAAGGGGGGAGAGGACCAGGAGGGAACAAUGUACUGAAAACUUAGAGAAAAAAAGAGUAUUCAGGAGGAAGUGGUGAUCAAUGGUAUCAAAAGCUCUAUAAAAAAGUGAUCAAGAAGGAUGAAGAUUGGGAAAAGGCCAAUGGAUUUGGCAAAAAAGAGAUCACUGGUAAUUUGGAAGAGGAUACUUUCAGUGAAAAGAUAAAUUAGACUUCAGAGAAUUUAAAGGUAAGGGAGAGGAGAU